GCUCAGGGUGUCGAGGUUGUCGUGCUCUGUUUGGGUUCAGCUUGUGGUAGUUGGGUUGCCAGCUGCUGCCGGUGCACUCUCAGACAGAGUUAGACCGUCAGUUGGGAAGACACCGGGACCUGCAACGAUCGAUGGAUGGGAGGUAAGCUUUGUGGUGCCCUUGGGUGCCCAGAGUGACGUAUAGCCGUUCCGUCGUGGUUCCGGUUGUCUUUCAGGUGCGUUUGGAUGACUGAUCGUCCAAAAUGGGAAGGUGCAGUCUCCCACUUGUGGGAGGUCGAGCCGUUCUUGAGGUUGUGCCUCAAUGUGGUCACGUGUUCCGUUCCCUCCCCGCUACACUUCGGUGUGUGGGGCUAGGGUGCGGCACGAGCUGCAUUGAGUGUAUCCCGUUGAGAGCGUGUUCCAAGUUCUGUGCCUAGGUGACUGGCGAAGAGUCGUUACUCUGUGC
rnacentral:rRNA from 2 species